GAAUUCGCCCUUAGAGUUUGAUCCUGGCUCAGGAUGAACGCUAGCGGUAGGCAUAACACAUGCAAGUCGAGGGGCAGCUGGUUUGGUAGCAAUACUGAAUGUCAGGCGACCGGCGGAUGGGUGAGUAACGCGUACGCAACCUACCUUGUACAGUGGGAUAGACACUGGAAACGGUGCGUAAUACCACGUAAUAAUAUAGAUAGGCAUCUAUUUAUAUGGGAAGGGUACGUAAGUAUUGGUAUAAGAUGGGCGUGCGUAGGAUUAGAUAGAUGGUGGGGUAACGGCUUACCAUGUCGACGAUCUUUAGGGGUUCUGAGAGGAAGGUCCCCCACAUUGCAACUGAGAACGGUGCAAACUCCUACGGGAGGCAGCAGUGGGGAAUAUUGGGCAAUGGGCGCAAGCCUGACCCAGCAACGCCGCGUGAAGGAAGAAGGCUUUCGGGUUGUAAACUUCUUUUAAGAGGGAAGAGCAGAAGACGGUACCUCUAGAAUAAGCCACGGCUAACUACGUGCCAGCAGCCGCGGUAAUACGUAGGUGGCAAGCGUUGUCCGGAUUUACUGGGUGUAAAGGGCGUGUAGGCGGAGCGGCAAGUCAGAUGUGAAACCCCGGGGCUUAACCCCGGAACUGCAUUUGAAACUGUCGCCCUUGAGUAUCGAAGAAGGCAGGCGGAAUUCCUAGUGUAGCGGUGAAAUGCGUAGAUAUUAGGAGGAACACCAGUGGCGAAGGCGGCCUGCUGGACGACAACUGACGCUGAGGCGCGAAAGCGUGGGGAGCAAACAGGAUUAGAUACCCUGGUAGUCCACGCUGUAAACGAUGAAUACUAGGUGUGGGAGGACUGACCCCUUCCGUGCCGCAGUUAACACAAUAAGUAUUCCACCUGGGGAGUACGACCGCAAGGUUGAAACUCAAAGGAAUUGACGGGGGCCCGCACAAGCAGUGGAUUAUGUGGUUUAAUUCGACGCAACGCGAAGAACCUUACCAGGAUUUGACAUCCCACUAACGAAGUAGAGAUACAUUAGGUGCCCUUCGGGGAAAGUGGAGACAGGUGGUGCAUGGUUGUCGUCAGCUCGUGUCGUGAGAUGUUGGGUUAAGUCCCGCAACGAGCGCAACCCUUAUGAUCAGUUACUAACGGGUGAAGCCGAGGACUCUGAUAAGACUGCCGGGGACAACUCGGAGGAAGGUGGGGACGACGUCAAAUCAUCAUGCCCCUUAUGACCUGGGCUACAAACGUGCUACAAUGGUGACUACAAAGAGGAGCGAGCCUGUAAAGGUAAGCGGAUCUCAAAAAAGUCAUCCCAGUUCGGAUUGUGGGCUGCAACCCGCCCACAUGAAGUUGGAGUUGCUAGUAAUCGCAGAUCAGAAUGCUGCGGUGAAUACGUUCCCGGGUCUUGUACACACCGCCCGUCA
rnacentral:rRNA from 1 species